GGUGGUGAUUGUCACUGAUUGAGCUCUUUUGCUCCACUAUAACAGGUUCUGGGUUGAAUUCUACGGAACAGAGCCUCACUUCCAGGAUUCCCUUCCCAUGAUCAGGAUAAUAACUUGAAACUAACACUGCGCCCGUCCCAAAUAAACCCAUAUCCCAUCUUCUAUUUUAUAACCCGCUAAGAAAUGAAAAAAACAGAAACAAAAAUCUCAUAAACUCCAUUCCCAGGAAAUGAUGAAGAACAGAGAAAUAAAAGGGGACUCUCAAAAUCCCCAUCACCCGCUCCCUGACGUCGCCCGAAUCUCCUCCAUCUCCUCCAUCAAUCCCUGCUUCUCUCUCUCCAACGCGUUCGAUUCCACAUCGCCACCGCUGCCUUCUUUCUUAAGCCUCUCAAUCUCCCCUUGAAUCUCACGACUCUUUUGCCUUAGCUCAAAAUACCGCCGAUACCGCCCCUCAUCCCCGCCAAAACAUACCCCAUACCCCUCACAAUAACAGCUAUACUCGUCCGGACAGUACUCCUCUACCCCUCCAAACACAUACUGCCACAGAUACUCCCACACCCGCCCGCUGAGCCGAUCGUCCAAUGUCGUCUUCAGCAGCCACUCCCGAAACUGCACGUAGCGCUCGCGCGGCAUGGCGCGGAUCCGGCUGCCGCUCACGGCGAAUUGCCCACAGCAGGGUUGCGAGAGGACGCGCGGGAUGGGCGUGGUGGGGAAGAGCUCUGUCCAGGCGAGGCCCAUCACGGCAGACUCGGGGAUGUUGAGGACGUCGUCGUGGCUCUGCGUUUCGUCGGUGUCGCCUUCGCCGGCUGUGGUGGCCGCGGUGGCCGUGGUGGUUGGCUUGGUGGGGUGGAUGUGAUCUGGACAGCCUGGUUCAUGGUGGCAGCGCAGAUUCAUGUAGCCGUCGCGCAGGACCUUGGCGCUGCGGAGGCGUUGGACGGUUUGGGGG
rnacentral:sRNA from 1 species